GACGUAGGGCGCGAGCGUUGUCCGGAUUUAUUGGGCGUAAAGAGCUCGUAGGCGGUGUGUCGCGUCGGCCGUGAAAACCUGGGGCUUAACUCUGGGCGUGCGGUCGAUACGGGCAUCACUAGAGUUCGGCAGGGGAGACUGGAAUUCCUGGUGUAGCGGUGAAAUGCGCAGAUAUCAGGAGGAACACCGGUGGCGAAGGCGGGUCUCUGGGCCGAUACUGACGCUGAGGAGCGAAAGCAUGGGGAGCGAACAGG
rnacentral:rRNA from 1 species